rnacentral:rRNA from 1 species
ACUCCUGACUGACCGAUAGUGAACCAGUACCGUGAGGGAAAGGCGAAAAGAACCCCGGCGAGGGGAGUGAAAAAGAACCUGAAACCGUGUACGUACAAGCAGUGGGAGCCUCUUAAUGGGGUGACUGCGUACCUUUUGUAUAAUGGGUCAGCGACUUAUAUUCUGUAGCAAGGUUAACCGAAUAGGGGAGCCGAAGGGAAACCGAGUCUUAACUGGGCGUUAAGUUGCAGGGUAUAGACCCGAAACCCGGUGAUCUAGCCAUGGGCAGGUUGAAGGUUGGGUAACACUAACUGGAGGACCGAACCGACUAAUGUUGAAAAAUUAGCGGAUGACUUGUGGCUGGGGGUGAAAGGCCAAUCAAACCGGGAGAUAGCUGGUUCUCCCCGAAAGCUAUUUAGGUAGCGCCUCGUGAAUUCAUCUCCGGGGGUAGAGCACUGUUUCGGCAAGGGGGUCAUCCCGACUUACCAACCCGAUGCAAACUGCGAAUACCGGAGAAUGUUAUCACGGGAGACACACGGCGGGUGCUAACGUCCGUCGUGAAGAGGGAAACAACCCAGACCGCCAGCUAAGGUCCCAAAGUCAUGGUUAAGUGGGAAACGAUGUGGGAAGGCCCAGACAGCCAGGAUGUUGGCUUAGAAGCAGCCAUCAUUUAAAGAAAGCGUAAUAGCUCACUGGUCGAGUCGGCCUGCGCGGAAGAUGUAACGGGGCUAAACCAUG